ACGCGAAAGCCCCCUUCGGGGGGCAAGUAGAGUGGCGCACGGGUGAGUAACACGUAGGUAAUCUACCUUUGGAUUGGGAAUAACCACCGGAAACGGUGGCUAAUACCGAAUAAUGCAGCGGCACCUAAUGGUGACAGUUGUUAAAGCGGGGGAUCGCAAGACCUCGCGUCUGAAGAGGAGCCUGCGGCGGAUUAGCUAGUUGGUAAGGUAACGGCUUACCAAGGCGAUGAUCCGUAGCCGGCCUGAGAGGGCGGUCGGCCACACUGACACUGACAUACAGGUCAGACUCCUACGGGAGGCAGCAGUCGGGAAUUUUGGGCAAUGGGCGAAAGCCUGACCCAGCAACGCCGCGUGAAGGAUGAAAUCCUUCGGGAUGUAAACUUCGCAAGAACGGGAAGAAUAAGUAAGAGCUAACACCUCUUACGAUGACGGUACUGUUUGUAAGCUCCGGCUAACUCCGUGCCAGCAGCCGCGGUAAUACGGGGGGAGCAAGCGUUG
rnacentral:rRNA from 1 species